GACGAACGCUGGCGGCGUGCUUAACACAUGCAAGUCGAACGGAAAGGCCCUGCUUUUGUGGGGUGCUCGAGUGGCGAACGGGUGAGUAACACGUGAGUAACCUGCCCUUGACUUUGGGAUAACUCCAGGAAACUGGGGCUAAUACCGGAUAGGAGCUCCUGCUGCAUGGUGGGGGUUGGAAAGUUUCGGCGGUUGGGGCUGGACUCGCGGCUUAUCAGCUUGUUGGUGUGGUAGUGGCUUACCAAGUCUUUGACGGGUAGCCGGCCUGGGAGGGUGACCGGGCACAUUGGGACUGAGAUACGGACCAGACUCCUACGGGCGGCAGCAGUGGGGAAUAUGGCAGAAUGGGCGGACGCCUGAGGCAGAAACGCCGGGAGCGGGAUGACGGGCUUCGGGUUGUAAACCGCUUUCGCAUGUGACGAAGCGUGAGUGACGGUAAUGGGUAAAGAAGCACCGGCUAACUACGUG
rnacentral:rRNA from 1 species